UCCUGGCACAUCAAAUAAUGAUUAGAAUGAAAUUGAAAACGCUUUGAAUGUAUUUAAGGAACUUUUCCGAAUGAGUUUAUUCGUUAAAAGACAUGGAACUGAAACAGAUAGUAUAUCUUUUCUUCGCAGUCAUUGCAGCAGCCUAUACUUAUCGAGAAGGAUCGCAUACUAUCACGGUGGAUGAUUCAAUGUAUCCACACAUAAUUGAGAUGAACCCAUUGAACCCAUAUGUUUGAUCGCUCGUGUGCAAUACAUGUUAUGCCGCCCUAUAAAUACUUAUGCUGAGUUUUGUCAAGUGAGGACUCAUUAUGAUGGAAAAAAUAAAUAAAAAUUUAUUGA